GACGAACCGUGCGAACGUUGUUCGGAAUCACUGGGCUUAAGGGCGCGUAGGCGGGUUCGCAAGUCUGUGGUGAAAGCCUCCAGCUUAACUGGAGAAGUGCCAUGGAUACUGCGCAUCUUGAGGAGGGUAGGGGCGUCUGGAACGGUCGGUGGAGCGGUGAAAUGCGUUGAUAUCGACCGGAACUCCGGUGGCGAAGGCGAGGCGCUGGACCCUUUCUGACGCUGAGGCGCGAAAGCCAGGGGAGCAAACGGG
rnacentral:rRNA from 1 species